UACUUUUCAUUUUCUAAUAUUUGCAUUCAAUGCCAUAAAUUUCUCUCUAAGCACUGCUUUUGCUGCAUCCUGCAAAUUUUGAUAAGUUGCAUUUUCAUUUAGUUCCAAAUUUAAAAUAUUAUCUUGAGAUUUCUUUUUUGAGGCAUGUGUUAUUUAGAAGUGUAGUUUAACCUUCAAUUAUUUUGGGAUUUUCCAGCUAUCUUUCUAUUAUUGAUUUCAAGUUUAAUUCUACUGUUGUCUGGGAGUAGAUGUUUUAUGAUAUUUAUGCUUAAAAAUUUGUUAAGGCAUGUUUUAUGACCCCGAAUGUGGUCUAUCCUGGUUAAUGUUCCAUGUGAACUUGAGAGAAAUGUGUAACCUGCUGUUGUUGGAUGAAGUAAUCUAUGAAUUUCAGUUACAUCCAGUUGAUUGAUGGUGCUGUUGAGUUCAACAAUGUGUUUACCAGUUUUCUGCCUGAAUCAGUCCAUUUCUAAUAAGAUGUGUUAAAAUGACUAAUCCUAAUAAUGAAUUCACUCAUUUCUCCUUAUAGUUUUUAUCAGUUUUUACCUCACAUAUUUUGACACUCUGUUGUUAAGUGCAUCCAUGCUGAAGAUUAUAAUGUUUCCAUGAAGUAUUUACCUCCUGUAUCAUUAUGUAAUGCCCCUAUCCAUUCUUGAUAACAUUCCUUGCUCUGAAGGCUGCUCUGUCUGAAAUUAGUAUAGUUACUUCCUCUUUUUAAAAAUUAGUGUUAGCAUGUUAUAUUUUUCUUCAUUACUUUUAAUUUCCAUGUAUCUUUAUAUCUAAAGUUGGUUUCUUCUAGACAGCAUGUAGUUUGGUCUUGUUUUUGAUCCACUCUAACAAUCUCUGUCUUUUAAUUGCUGUAUUUCAAUCAUUAACAUUUAAAUGAUUAUUGAUGUAGUUUGAUUAAUAUCAUCUUUGUAAUGUUUUUGUCUGUGUCCUUGUUCUUUCUUCCUAGUUUGCCUUUCACACUUUUUCUGCCUUUUGUGAUUUUAAUUGAGCAUUUUAUAAGAUUCAAUUUUCUCUCAUUUCUUAGCAUAUUAAUUAUGGUCGAUUAUGGUUUGUUUGUGUUUGUUUUUGCACUCCCCCAGGCUGGAGUGCAGUGCUGUGAUCAUAGUUCACUGCAGCCUUGAACUCCUGGGCUCAAGUGGUCCUCUCACCUUUGUCUCCAAAAACACUAGGAUUUCAGGUGUGAGCCAUCCUACUUGGCCCAUGUGCUUUUUUAAAAAACUAUUUUUAUUGCUUGCCCUAGAGUUUGCAAUGUACAUGUAUAUUCGCUAAUCCAAGCCCACUUUUUUUUUUUUUUGAGACAGAGUCACUCUGUCACCCAGGCUGGAGUGCAGUGGCAUGAUCUCUGCUCACUGCACCUCCACAGUGAGGUGAAUUGCUUGAACAGUUCUCUGCCUCAGCCUCCCGAGUAGCUGGUAUUACAGGCACCUGUCAUCACACCUGGCUGAUUUUUGUGUUUUUAGUAGAGACGGGGUUUCACCAUCUUGGCAAGGCUGGUCUCGAUCUCCUGACCUCAUGAUUCACCCACCUCAGCCUCCCAAAGUGUUGGGAUUAGAGGAGUGAGCCACCAAGACCGGCAGAAGCCCACUUUCAAGUAACACUACACACCUUCACAGCUACCUCUCCAUAAGACCUACUUUUCCCUGAUGCACACAGUGAAGUGUUUAAUAUCUUCCCUGCAAGCCAAGUGAAAAUUAUGUGAACUGGCUGGAGUGCAGUGGCAUGAACACCGCUCAUUGAAGAUUUGACCUCUGGGCUGAAGCAAUCCUUCUGCCUCAGCCUUCCCAGUGGCUGGGAUCACAGGUGCAUGCAGUGAAAUAGGAGCCCCCCUCCUGUCAAAGCUGGGACAUCUGAGAGACAGUGGUCACACUACAGCUCAACUGCACGCACACCAAAAAAAGUAGCUUAUUAUCUUUUACUGUUUAUUUUUCUUUCUGGUUUACCAACCUACUGGGUAUCAGAGUGCAAAAAAUUAUUUUACUUGCAAAUUAAUUAAAUCACCACCUUUUCUUGCUUAAACUGUCUUUUUGGGUUAAUUCAGCUACUUUAGGAUAAACGUUCAGUCUUUCAGAUAUAUUCCACUUACCCUAGCUCCUCCCAUGAUGGUUCUGGGGUGGAAGAGGCUUACAUGACCUCGCAGUAGCAGGGCAGAGGACAGGGUUACGCUGCUCACGGGGCAUUCUGUACAAAUUAGAUGUGUCUUCCUUAUGAUACCUUCCUUCCAGGUGUUGGAAAGUUGUCAUGCUGAUUUUAUUAGAACAAGCACCUUGUUGCCAUAUGCUUUAAAAUUGAUAUAACAAAUGUGCAAAUUUUCACUAUCUGCUAAAUGAAUUGGUGCUUUCUUGUGCAAUACUCAACCUGCACAACUGUAUGCCAGUCUCUGUUUUUGUACCACAGUAAGGUGCAUGCAUAAGGCUGAAUAUGGGGUUUUCCCAGAGGCUUGUAGCUAUCUUCAAGAUAGGCAGACUAUUGGCAUUGACUAUCCUGGCCACUCUGGAGAUUCUAUUGCUCUCAGACCAUGAGGAUCAACAUUUGUCCAUGACUUCCUUGCCUCCUCCCCUUAGGCCACUAGGGUCAGAAGCCCAGGCUUUUUCAUUUCCCUGAAAAAUAGAAGCUUUGUUUACAUCACGACUGGUUCUCAUUACCCCCUGACAUACAGAAAACUCCAAGUUUAAGUCAGCCAAGCCUGCUUCUUGAUGUGAGAUGGGAGCUUAAGGGAUUUAAAUCAUUAUUUUACUUUCCCAUAAUGUCUGGCUUUUGAGACUCCACUCACUAGUGCCUCACAACCAACGCUGACUUGCUUUUUCUAGCUAAAAUUUACCCCUUUCCUGAGGCAUGAAACACACUGUUUCAGAGUGUAGGUCCCCCAGGGCAGCAGUGUUUUCUGGAUUUGAAAAUUUAACUGAAGGCUGGGCGUGGUGGCUCAAGCCUGUAAUCCCAGCACUUUGGGAGGCCGAGGCGGGUGAAUCACGAGGUCAAGAGAUUGAGACCAUCCUGGUCAACAUGGUGAAACCCCGUCUCUACUAAAAAUAAAAAAAAAAUUAGCUGGGCAUGGUGGCAUGUGCCUGUAAUCCCAGCUACUCGGGAGGCUAAGGCAGGAGAAUUGCCUGAACCCAGGAGGCGGAGGUUGCAGUGAGUCGAGAUCGCACCAUUGUACUCCAGCCUGGGUAACAAGAGCAAAACUCCGUCUCAAAAAAAAAAAAAGAAAAUUUAACUGAAAAGCUCUCACCAACAUUGUAAUAUUUUUACCUUUCUCUUGUGGGACUUCGUUGCAGGCAACAAGAAGAAGCCAAAAACCACCAAUAUUUUGAACUUUUCCUAACACUUUCUUGGUUUCAGACUUUUGGUGGACAUUAUCUGAGUCUCAGGAUACAGCAGGCAGUAGUUUAAACAGCAAUUUUGCUGCCACUUAACAUGGGCUGCUAACAAGCUAGUUCUAUCUUCAUUGCCCUCUCCACUAUAGCUCUUCAUCUCUGCCUAUUCAACAGUUUCGAGUCUAUAACAUCACCCUCACUUCCACAUUCCAAAUUCCAUUGGGAUCCUUUAGGAUUCAAGGAACAAAAAUACCAUAUUUAUACUAAAAUAAUAAGGAAGCAUAUUUGGUUCAUGUAACUGCAAUAGUCGAGACUCUCAGCAUCUUUAGGAUGCAGCUCCAGUGUUGUGUGAUUCCCUGAGUUCUUCUUGCUUGCAUGCAUUGGCUAUUUUAUGUUAACAAAGUGGCCACAGAGAUUCCAGGCAUCUCAUUCACAUACCACAACAUCCAGAUUAAAAGAAAGGGCCUUUGUCCCAGAAUCUAAGCAAGUUCAGUCACAUGCCCACCACUGAACCAAUCAUUGUGGUUUUGACUGACUUACUUAGGUACUACGUGCUCCAUUCCUAAAGCCAAGAGCCACACAGGUCUGGAAGUCAGGCCUAAAAAGAGGCAGCUCUGAAGUAUCAGCUGAAACAUCAUGAGAUCUAUCCAUUGAGAAUGGAGACUUUAUUUCUCAUAAAGGGUUACAGCCUGCAAGGUGGUCAUUUUCACAGGCUGGGAAACAUAGCCUCUGGUAGUAGCCAAAAGGCAGGCAUUUCAAGGGAGAGGAGGAUGAAGCCUCUGGUAGAAGCCAAAAGGCAGGCACUUCAAGGGAGGGAAGAAUGAAACAAGGAUUUAUGCUGAACAGUUGGCCAAGUAUACAUAUUUAACAGUUUAUAAGAGUAGCUAUGAAUAUUCAUGAAGGGUGUCCUAAUGCAUGUGUACUGAAUAAACAUGCAUGUUGCAUGUUCACUUUGGGGUGGAGACAAUGUAUAAAUACAUAACAAUUAGGCCUUGUAUGUCAAAAGGUGAAUCAGGGACACAGAGGCACUCAAGUGUGCAGCCUCUGCAAAUCAGCCAGAACCAGCCCAUGGUUGGUGGUCUAUUAUCAGGAGAAAGUUACCAAAAUCAACCUCGUCUAAUCAGAGCUGUAGAGACGGCUUGUGGAACAGAGGGGUCAAUCAGGCUGCAUCUGGCGACUGUUCCUGGGAGAUACUUGUUUCUUGGUUGAGAACCUAUCAUCCUGGGCUCCUCCGCUCUUCUGGAGUGGCAACUAGUGGUGAACUAUUAAUACAAGAUUCUGUACAGAACAAGAUCAUCACCUAGUGGUCACAAGCAGAACUCCUGCACGGCUUUUCCUGGCCAGCCAAAGUGAUGUAGUAAGAACAGCAUCUUUGGAAGAGAAAAGAUGUACUUUAACUCCCACAUCACUUCCCCCUCCCCCAGAUUCGAUCCAUUUGUCAUUGUCGGCUAUGUCUUCAAACUAGGUGCAUUCAGCUAAUGUAAGUAAUAACACAAAGGUAAUCAUGCUGUGCUCCAUCUUUAAGCUGUUUGAAAUGUCAAAGAAUAAAAGAGAAGAUAGUGGUCAAAUAUAUAUAUAUAUAUAUUUACUUGAGUCAAAUCAGGUUUUUAUUCUAUA